CCUCAUAAUAACUCCCAAGCUGCUGCUGCGCAUUACGGAAUGAAUGGAGGCAGAUAAUAAUAAAAAAAAAAGCACAGGGUGUGUUCAAAUCCCUCUUAACUUGUCAUAGGAAGAAAAGCACAGGUGCUACUGCAUAGCAUGUACAGUGGCUACAGGAAGAAAUCCCACUAAGAGAUUUAGACCAUAUUUUAAUUAUUAAUUGAAUUAUUUACACCUGUGUUUUACUGUGACGCAUCAGAGGGGGAGUGACUGACAUCUGUUUGUGGGCUAACCAAAUGGUACAUGCUAGCUGCAAAAUGAACUUGUUUAUUGUAAGAAAAAAAAGAAAAAAAAAAAGAAAAGGAAAGGAAAAAAAGAAGCCAACAAAAUAAGGAGUGUACUGACGGCAAAAGCUUUGAAGACAAGUCGAAGACAGGGAGCUGAAAGGAGCAACUUUAAGAGCAACGCAGACUCCAGAGCUGAGAGUGAUGCUAGCUAACGUCACUUUAGCCCUACCAGUGAGGACGGCUGUGGAGUCACAGAAACAACAGACCAAACUGCAACAUACAAACACCUUGUUACAGCAUAGACCAGAAGCACAACACAACAUAUGCUGGUCUUGCUAGUGACUGGUCACCAGCAUGUUGUGUUGUUGUUGUUUUGGUGCUGGUCUAUGCUGUUUUUUUCAGCAGGGUUGCUCAUUGUGUUUGUCCAGUUCCAGAAACAACUGACACAACCUGAACAAACACCUUGAUCCAGUCUAUCCAGCUUUGUUGGAACUUUGCUCUGAAUGUGUGAGAACAAACAAAGAAACAAAAAGAUUAUUCCCCUGAACUGAAACCACUUUCUGAACUGGAGCCAUAGCUACAUAAAAACCACCAGUCCAAGGAAUCCUAAGGAUGUUGUCGAGGCGACGCUGCUGCCCCCUCUGAUUAUGUGUAAAAGGACAUACAUGACCUCUGAAAGUAAAUGCAUAUUCAUUGUAAUUACAUCAAGAACAGUGAUGUUGUGUUGUUCCCAUUUUUAGCACUAGAGUGAAUACUGCACAUGCUUUAGUUAGGAGCAGUUUAUAAAAAUAAAAAAAAUAUAAGAAAUGG